AUUGAACGCUGGCGGCAUGCCUUACACAUGCAAGUCGAACGGCAGCACGGGGGCAACCCUGGUGGCGAGUGGCGAACGGGUGAGUAAUGCAUCGGAACGUGCCCAGUAGUGGGGGACAACCAGUCGAAAGAUUGGCUAAUAGCGCAUACGACCUAUGGGUGAAAGCGGGGGACCGUAAGGCCUCGCGCUAUUGGAGCGGCCGAUGUCUGAUUAGCUAGUUGGUGAGGUAAAAGCUUACCGAGGCGACGAUCAGUAGCUGGUCUGAGAGGACGACCAGCCACACUGGGACUGAGACACGGCCCAGACUCCUACGGGAGGCAGCAGUGGGGAAUUUUGGACAAUGGGCGCAAGCCUGAUCCAGCCAUGCCGCGUGCGGGAAGAAGGCCUUCGGGUUGUAAACCGCUUUUGGCAGGAACGAAACGGCGACUCUUAAUACGGGUCGUUAAUGACGGUACCUGCAGAAUAAGCACCGGCUAACUACGUGCCAGCCGCCGCAGUAACAC
rnacentral:rRNA from 1 species